CCUACGGGCGGCUGCAGUGGGGAAUAUUGCACAAUGGGCGCAAGCCUGAUGCAGCCAUGCCGCGUGUGUGAAGAAGGCCUUCGGGUUGUAAAGCACUUUCAGCGGGGCGGAAGGCGUUAAGGUUAAUAACCUUGGCGAUUGACGUUACCCGCAGAAGAAGCACCGGCUAACUCCGUGCCAGCAGCCGCGGCAAUACGGAGGGUGCAAGCGUUAAUCGGAAUUACUGGGCGUAAAGCGCACGCAGGCGGUCUGUCAAGUCGGGUGUGAAAUCCCCGGGCUCAACCUGGGAACUGCAUUCGAAACUGGCAGGCUAGAGUCUUGUAGAGGGGGGUAGAAUUCCAGGUGUAGCGGUGAAAUGCGUAGAGAUCUGGAGGAAUACCGGUGGCGAAGGCGGCCCCCUGGACAAAGACUGACGCUCAGGUGCGAAAGCGUGGGGAGCAAACAGGAUUAGAUACCCCAGUAGUC
rnacentral:rRNA from 1 species